CUUCGUAUUAUGUCAAUCAAUCAAACUGCGAUUUAAUUUCGAUCACAUAAAAGUGCAAUCCGAAUGCCCGAAAAAAAAAAACCAAAAUCAAAAAUAAACCAAAAACGCGACUCCGCCCUGCCACGCCCUCACGUUCAUUGGAAGUUCCAGUCCGGGUUCCAGUGCUCCAGUGUUCCAAUGCUCCAGACCCGCAGCUUCCAGCGCGAAAAAUAGCUGCAAUGCUCCAUUCCCACACGCUGAGAUAAAAACCAAACACAGUCGGCCAAUGCAUACAAAUGAGCGAAGGAGCCCGGGAGUCACGUAGCCAGCCACCAGGAAGGAGGCACCUCAUCCCUUGGAGCGGCGGAAGAGCGGUGGCUCUAAUUAAGACAGGCCUGGUCUGGUCUGGGCCAAAAUUAAUGGAACCCACGAGCGGCGGAGGAGCAUUUUCGGUGUUCACACAAAUUAAAUUCCAUCAAGUUUAUUUGCUGUAAAUGAGGCAGCGGCAGAAGGAGUGGAAGUGCUGGCCCUAAUUUAAUUUCCCCACCCUUAACCCUUUGUGUCCCCGUGACACGUGUUGCCAUGUAUCCAUUUGCCACUUAGAAGCGAAACAAUAGGCCUUUAGACAACUACACUUGGACACACAGAUGCUAAAUCAGAUUGUUCGGUUUAUAUACGUUCGAUUUUCUAUGUAAAUAGUCAUUAUAAUUAUUAUUGUGGUCUACGCUGAAUUUUGCCUCGAGCAAUUUCAGCUGUAAGACCUUGGGAAAACUCAAAAUUGUAAACAAAAUCUAAUAUUUAUUACGAAAAUUCAUAUGUGUGCAUCUCGCAAAUGCUAGGAUUGCAAAAUUAAAAACAAAAUACAAAACAAGGAGACGAAAGAGCAGAGGGCAAAUCUAUUAAUUAGUAAUUAUUAUAAUGUGAUGUUAUAUAUAUAAAUCAAUCUUUAACAAGAAACCUAAAGCAAGUAAAACAGAAAAAAUGAAAAAAUAUACAAAACUGUUAACCAACGUAACAAAUUUCACUAAGUAGAUUUUUCGAAUUAAAUUUAAAUUAUAAUAAUUAAAAAUUAUAGCAAGAAAAACCGAAGAAAAAAAAACAAAAUAACUUUGCUGUAUACACGAGAUAAAACUGCGUUUUUCUACUAAAAAAUGAAUAUGUAAAAUGAUUUUUGAAAUUUAGAUUACCUACCUACCCCAUAUUCCUAAUUAUAUAAAAACCAAUUAUAAAUAUAUAAAUUACAAAUUCUAUGUAAAUGUUGUGCGUAUAUAAAGCAAAGCGUAGAACCCCACAUUCAAAAUCUUUUAGUUAUUUAUUAUGUGUGUGCUAUAUCUUCUCUAUGUAUACAUAAAAAGAGCGCUUGGCUUCGACUAGCUAACAUUUUGGGCCUUAAACCAACCUACUCAAGCCGGGGCCUUGGUGUUCUUCUUAUUACCCAGCAUUCUUCAGAUCGAUAUAUCUAUAUACCCCUGGGGAGGGGUGCAACCCACACACUAAUCGUUAUUCUAUAUCUACGUGAAUGUGUUCGUUUCUAAACUUGUAAAAAAGCACGCACCCCUCCUCCGUUCAGACACGAAAUGUUUGUAAAAUAUUGAAAGAGAGAAAACGAUGAAAAAUACGAAAUUUACCUAUAAUAUUAAUACGAUUUUCAGGAGUAAAGGAAGAAAACAUUUUAGUUUUUCUACUUGAAUCGCAUUUCUUCCACUUUUCACCAACCAAAUCAAAUUUACAUGAAAAUAUGAUACGAAGAAUUGAAUUUUGAGUCUCUUCAAUCCUCAAGCUCAAAACCCUAACAAAAUUAAUACAAAACUAAAAAAUAAUGAAGUUUCUAGGUUCUAUUAUUUAGUUGUCUUGUUAUUUAUAUGUUUAGCUUUAGUUCUUGUCUAAUUUAUUUAUAAGUUUUGGCUCCGCAAUAAAUACAGACAAUUAUAUAUAUUUUUC